GCGGCAAGACAGAGGCAGGCAGCUAGGCACAACGCAACCGAGUUUUAAACUUUGAUUUUUUUUUCUCCUGCUGCUGCCCGGGCAUCUCACACGCGAAGAGCAUUACCUCUGUGCAGCCAGGAGCCGAGAUGCAGUCUGAAUGCGCACGGUGGCUUCUGACGUGGCAGCGUGAAUUCUCAGCUGGGCAGGUGCUGGGAACAUUAAAUCUUCAUGUCCAGAGGACAAGAAAACUAAAGAACUGAGUCCUGAUGCUUUAUGUAACCACUGGGACCAAUCAGUGCCCCAUCCUCUUUCAAAGGUGCUGCC